UACGAAGGGGGCUAGCGUUGCUCGGAAUCACUGGGCGUAAAGCGCACGUAGGCGGAUCGUUAAGUCGGAGGUGAAAUCCUGGAGCUCAACUCCAGAACUGCCUUCGAUACUGGCGAUCUUGGAGUCCGGGAGAGGUGAGUGGAACUCCGGAGUGUAGAGGUGAAAUUCGUAGAUAAUUCGGAAGAACACCAGUGGCGAAGGCGGCUCACUGGCCCGGUACUGACGCUGAGGUGCGAAAGCGUGGGUAGCAAACAGG
rnacentral:rRNA from 1 species